rnacentral:rRNA from 1 species
GAACUAGCUACCUGAAAUCAAUCUACAUAUAAAUAUUGAUUGAUAACGNAAGGGAAAAUUAUGAUAUUACCUUACUAUUAGUGUCGCCCAAAUCUGGUGCCAGAAGACUCGGUAAGGCCAGAGACGCAAACGUUAAUCAUCUUAAACAGGCGUAAAGGGUUUGUAGGCUGCUUUGAAUAUUAUCUUUUAAUUUACCUUAUGGUAAAAUAGCGCAUUAGAUAAUUAAUCAAAGCUAGAAUCAAAUAGAGGUUAUAUUAUAUAAUGCUUAAAGUAGGUCUAAUAUCCUAACAGAUUAAGUGGAAUAUUAAAAGCGAAGGCUUAUUUACCAUAAAUGAUUGACGCUGAGAAACGAAGGUGAGGAUAGGAAAUAGGAUUAGAUACCCAAAAUACCCCUCUCUGUCAACGAUGAAUGGUGGUUGCUAAUUAUAAAAUUAGUAGCUAUGUUAACACGAUAACCAUUCCGCCUUGUGAGUACGACUGCAAAGUUGAAAAUNAAAAAAUUAGUCGG